rnacentral:rRNA from 1 species
UAAGACGAACCGUCCAAACGUUAUUCGGUAUCACUGGGCUUAAAGAGUUCGUAGGCGGCUCCGUAGGUGAGGUGUGAAAUCCCUCGGCUCAACCGAGGAAUUGCGCUUCAAACCGUGGAGCUUGAGGUAGACAGGGGUAAGCGGAACAGAUGGUGGAGCGGUGAAAUGCGUUGAUAUCAUCUGGAACACCGGUGGCGAAAGCGGCUUACUGGGUCUUUUCUGACGCUGAGGAACGAAAGCUAGGGUAGCGAACGGG